UACGGAGGGUGCAAGCGUUAUCCGGAUUUACUGGGUUUAAAGGGCGCGUAGGCGGCCGGGUAAGUGAGAUGUGAAAGCUCUGGGCUCAACCCAGGAAUUGCAUUUCAUACUGCUCGGCUCGAGAUUGGUAGAGGAUGGCGGAAUUCCAGGUGUAGCGGUGAAAUGCGUAGAUAUCUGGAGGAACACCGAUGGCGAAGGCAGGUCUCUGGGCAUUAACUGACGCUGAGGAGCGAAAGCAUGGGGAGCGAACAGG
rnacentral:rRNA from 1 species